UUCACGCGGCUCGUCGAAAUUCUACAGGUUGUAAUUCGCUAUAUGAUAUCAAAUUCCUGAUUAGUUAAUGAUUUAUUAGUAGUAGAACUUGUGCAGGAGUGUUCUAGCGGAUAUAAAAUUAUCUAUUUGCAAAACAAUUUAAUUUUAAUUGUGAUUUUUGUUGGUUUUAGGCGUCUAGGAGCUGAACCCGUCGGCACAGCGUCUUCAUUUUAACGUCAUAUUAUAGGCGUCUAGCAGCUGAACCCGUCGUCACAGCGUCUUCAUUUUGACGUCAUAUUGCGUCUAGCAGCUGAACUCGUCGUCACAGCGUCUUCAUUUUGACGUCAUAUUAUAGGCGUCUAGCAGCUGAACCCGUCGUCACAGCGUCUUCAUUUUGACGUCAUAUUAUAGGCGUUUAGCAGCUGAACCCGUCGUCACAGCAUCGUUAUUUUGAUGUCAUGUUAUAGGCGUCUAGCAGCUGAACCCGUCGUCACAGCGUCUUCAUUUUGACGUCAUAUUAUAGGCAUCUAGCAGCUGAAUAUUGUAAGUACUUAUUCCAGACUGACAAUAAUCUUGUCAGUGUGUUCCUUUUGUUUCAAAUAAUUUAUUAAAUUUAUGUUAAAAUUUACUUGGGUUGCAAAAUAAUUUUUGUGAGUAGUUUUCUUGGCAGCCGCGAAACUGAACUUUUUGCUUUGUUCAUCUUGUCUCUCAACAGUCUCAACUCUCUUCCCUACUUAGUGGGCCGUGCGUUGUUGCGGGAUGCGCAUGUGUUUUAUUCGUCUGUCGACAUUCGUGGCAUUCGGUGCCGACAUUACAGUGACAUUACAUUCGGUGGAUUGUCGACGGCGUGUGGUAAUUACGGAAUAAUGUGUAAUUAUUGCGCGUAAAAUUCAGGAUUAAGAUUUAGGAGCGCGCCUGUCUUCUGUCGGAUAUCUUUCGGUGAUAUUGAAUUUCCAUUGGAUUUAUUAUUUCAUGAUUUGUUAGACACAUUUCGGCUGUGUAGCACCUUCAGUCAUUGUAACUAAGUAAAUAAGAUGAAAUAAGGUAAUAUGUUGAAAUCAUAAUUUAAUUCCACUUAAUACUUUUCAAAUUUAUUAUAUUUUGAUUUGCAUUUUUAUUGAAAUAAAAUAAUAGUUGACAUAA